UCCCCCUUUCAGAACACUCAAUGUCGGAACGUUCCGAAGAUGACGUCGGAGCGUUCUCGAAUCCCGUGUCUCUCGGCUGCUGCUGCCGAAGGAACAGGGAAAAAGCAACAAGAAGGAAGAGCAAUGGCGACACUGGAUCGCAAAGUGCCCAGUCCGGAGGCGUUUCUGGGCAAACCCUGGUCCUCCUGGAUCGACGCCGCCAAAUUACACUGCUCCGACAAUGUAGAUUUAGAAGAGGCUGGAAAAGAGGGUGGAAAAAGCAGGGAGGUUAUGAGGCUUAAUAAAGAAGAUAUGCACUUAUUUGGCCAUUAUCCAGCACAUGACGACUUCUAUCUCGUAGUGUGCAGUGCCUGUAAUCAGGUCGUCAAGCCACAGGUUUUCCAGUCGCACUGCGAGAGAAGACACGGUUCAAUGUGUAGACCUUCUUCCUCUCCAGCGUCUCCAGCCUCCAACCCCAGGACAUCACUAGCACAGGUGAAAACGAAAGCCUGUCUCAGCGGCCAUAACUCUGCCAGCAGCACCUCAAAGCCAUUCAAAACGCCCAAAGACAAUCUACUUACCUCCAGCAGCAGACAGCACACAGUCUUUUCUGCAAAAGGAUCAAGGGAUAAACCAUGCGUUCCGGUUCCUGUAGUCAGUUUAGAGAAAAUUCCUAACCUAGUGAAGGCAGAUGGUGCCAAUGUCAAAAUGAACUCUACAACCACUACUGCAGUCACCUCCUCCUCCACCUCCUCCUCUGCCGUCUCCACCCCUCCUUUAAUUAAGCCCAUCUUGAUGUCCAAGUCAGUGCCACCUUCACCAGAGAAAAUCCUAAAUGGCAAAGGAAUUCUGUCAGCCACAAUAGACAAGAAACACCAAAAUGGCACCAAAAACAGCAACAAGCCUUACCGGAGACUUUCAGAGAGAGAAUUUGACCCAAAUAAACACUGUGGAGUAUUGGAUCCCGAGACAAAGAAACCUUGCACAAGAUCCCUCACCUGCAAGACACACUCGCUAAGCCAUCGGAGGGCAGUCCCGGGCCGGAGAAAGCAAUUUGACCUCCUCCUGGCGGAACACAAAGCCAAGUCCCGGGAGAAAGAAGUUAAAGAGCACCUCCUGACUUCCACAAGGGAAAUACUUCCAAAUCCACCCGGGCCAGGGCAGGAGUCUCUGCUGGGAUCUUCAGGGAGCUCGGGGCCAGAACCAAAAGUUGCAUCCCCUGCAAAAUCCAGGCCACCUAACUCUGUACUUCCCAGACCAUCAUCUGCAAAUAGCAUAAGUAGCAGUGCGUCUUCAAAUCACAGCGGCUACGCGCCAGAGCCCCCUCUGCCCCCAGUUGGAGGUGACCUCACCAGCCGACUGUCCAGUGAUGAAGGGGAGAUGGACGGAGGCGACGAAUCUGAGAGGUUGGACUGUCAGUUCUCCGUGCACCAUCCCAGACCUCUUGCGUUUUGCUCAUUCGGGAGUCGCCUCAUGGGACGAGGGUACUAUGUGUUUGAUAGAAGAUGGGAUCGUUUUCGAUUCGCACUAAACUCCAUGGUAGAGAAACACUUGAAUUCACAGAUGUGGAAGCACAGAAGCCCGAGCCACAGGGCAUCAGGUCCCUCCCCCCUGUUCAGGACUUGCCUAACCAAUCUGCUGUCACUGAGCAACAUUGGGGCUGCCUGGGUGUCAACUCUGGAGAGCGUAGCACCACGCUGCCCUCUCAACCUCGCUGCCCAAACCCCAGGCCCCGACGGGCCCGAACCUGGAGGGAUGGCAGCCGAUGGGGGCAUGGAAGACAUUAGGAAGAAAAGGAACGGCCAAGACACUUUUUUCUUUAACAAGCAUUUAACUCUGCAUCAGGAGACGCCAACACAGUAUUCUCUUUCAGCCAGGAAGAUCCCUCCUGCGGCAGAUAGCCCCAUGCCCUCGCCAGCAGCCCACAUCACCACCCCUGUUCCAGCAUCCGUUUUGCAGCCUUUCAGCAACCCCGGUGCUGUGUAUCUUCCUUCAGCUCCCAUCAGCUCGAGACUCACCUCUUCUUACAUAAUGACAUCAGCCAUGCUCUCAGACGCAGCUUUUGUGGCAUCGCCGGACCCGCGCGUCCUCAUGUCCCACACCACAGCUUUCCCCCAUGUGGCCGCCACCCUCAGCAUCAUGGACUCAACCUUCAAGGCCCCAUCUGCCGUGUCCCCGAUACCAGCCGUCAUCCCUUCCCCAUCCCACAAGCCAUCCAAAACCAAAACCAGCAAAUCCUCAAAAGUCAAAGACCUGUCCACCCGUAGCGACGAGUCUCCAAGUAACAAAAAGAGGAAGCCCCAGUCUUCGACUUCCUCCUCCUCCUCUUCCUCUUCCUCCUCCUCCUCCUCCUCUUCCUCCUUGUCCCUGCCGCCUUCCCUCUCGUCUCCAUUGUCAGGGCCCCACAAAAAGAACUGUGUCCUGAAUGCCAGUUCCGCUUUGAACUCCUAUCAGGCGGCCCCUCCCUAUACCAGUCUGUCUGUGCACAACUCAAACAAUGGGGUGAGCCCACUCAGUGCCAAGCUGGAGCCCUCAGGACGGACCUCGCUGCCCGGCGGCCCCGCGGACAUAGUGAGACAGGUGGGCACGGUGGGCGGCAGCAGUGACUCCUGUCCCCUCUCUGUGCCCUCCCUUGCGCUCCACACAGGGGACCUCUCUCUGGCCUCACACAAUGCCGUGUCUUCUCUGCCCCUCUCUUUUGACAAAUCAGAAGGAAAAAAGCGUAAGAACUCGAGCACUAGUAGCAAAGCCUGUAAAAUCACUAAAAUGCCUGGUAUGAAUAGCGUUCACAAAAAGAACCCACCCGGCCUUCUUGCACCGGUGCCCGAGCCCGUUAACAGCACCUCCUCUCGGCAGGUUGGGAAAAAUAGCAGCCUAGCUUUGUCACAAUCCAGUCCUUCAAGCAUAUCCAGCCCAGGACACAGCCGACCGUCCUAGGAUCAUGGUGACUACAUAACAUAUCUGGAGUCCUUUAUAGCCAUCACCUCAUUUGCUUAUUACAGCUGUCCUUUGCCAUGUACUGGAGAAGAACACAAACAGAAUGGGCAGGAUAAGGACUCUUCCAUAACAAGACUAUGAAGCCACUUCCAAAACAAUUCCUGGUUGUGAUCCCACCCCAGGAGGCCAUGGCAGGAGGAGGAGGGAGGGGAGUGGGCCCUUGGGGAGCGUCUCUUCCCUAUGCCCUGCCUGUGGCUCUGGCCUUUCUUCUUCUUCUUUUUUUUUAAUGAUCAGUUUUUUCGUUGUUGUUGUUUUUUGAAGAAACAGAAAAAGGCAAAAGACCGUGGAUUUGAAACUUUCAGAAAACAAUACCAGUGUUUUCUUUCCAUUUUUCAUUUGCCACAUUUAUACAUUCUUCCAAAUUUGGGGUCACUUCCCUCACUCCUGAUGCUGCUACCCCACCAUAAUUUUGCUCCUGCCCUGAGAGCAGACGUCGCAGAAUGUCAGUUCUGGGUUGGCGCCGUCUGAAGCUCUUGAACUUUAGCACAUGCAGAGCUCUUCCUCCUUGUUCUCUCCCACCGCAUCCCUCCCAUCCCCAACCUGCCACUCACAGGGCAGGAGGGGCCCACUGGCCAUCAGGAGUGGCUGGCUCCCACCAGUACCCCCUGGACAGCAUGCUGGGGAAGGGGUUUUGUUAGGGAGGAUCCUAAGAGGAAAGAGCCAGAGGGUAUGUGGGUGCCCUCAACAGAUUUCUACAGCCCAGCAGGCAAAAUUGAGAACACUGGCUGCUUAAUGACCUGGUUUACCAAUACCAGUGUCUAGCUGUACAGCCCAGAAAAGACAUACAGGGGAGAAGCAGAGGGGACCUGGAAGAGUGGCAGAAAGCAGAAUCUGGCCAGUAGGAGACAAUGUCCCUUAAAAAAUGGUGGGGACCAAGUAACUGUGAUGGUCUGAGCUUGUUAGGAAUCCAUUCUGCAGAAUCCCUUCCAGGGCACGGUAUGCAGGUUCCCAAAGUUGAGUGAGUCAGAGAUGGAGGAAUCCCACGGGAAAGGCCACUGAACCAAAAAAAAGUCACUCCAUCAGGAAGCAUGCUGAUCUUCAGCUAAAGGUUCUCAAGUUGCCCUCUGGGGACAGGAAAGAUCCUCAAGGGGAAAGCCUCCAUGGAGGAUCAUGUAUCAAAUCCCUUGUGAAAAUAAAUACUAGCAUUGCCCACCCAUGCCCAGAGGGGAACUUGCAUUGCCCACCUACACCCAGAAGUGAGCGUGCAUUCUGUUCUCAGAUGCCCCAACUCAGACAGCCACCCCUGAGAAGGAAUGGUAAAGGACGUGCCAUCUCUUAGUGAAGAGCCAUUUGGAAGAGCUGAAGAGAGACAUUGGAGCAUCGCAGCUAUGAAGUUUUUCACACUGGAGUUUUGAAAGAAACAGCAAUACCAUAAACUCUAAUAAGGAAUCAUCAUCAGGAACGGAAUUCCUAAUGUGAAACAGGAGUUCUGUGCUAAUCUUAUAAGUUUGCAUACAACAGAGAUGCUAGGAGGUUCUCUUUCAUCCUGAAAUCAGAAAUGCUAGUCUCGCGGCUGGGUGCAUCCCCCAAUCCCAAGGUUUUCCUUUAUUUUCCCAUCCCCCAACCCAAAGAUCAGACUACUGUUAAGUUUCACCACACGAUUGGAAUCUGCAAAGGUGGGAGGCUAACGGAGUGAUCUGCAUUGAUGGAAUUGCACUGACAGUAUUUCUUAUAGGAUUACUAAAUUUUUUAAUAUAAAAAAAGAUUUUUUUAAAAAUCAGGAGUUGAUAUUAAGUACCAGGACAUUAGUUCAGAUGAUUUCAUUUUUAUUUCAACAGUGUUAAAAGUGCACUUAUAUGCUGGUUUAUUUGAGUCUUGGAAAAAAGAGACUGCAAAUUGAAGGGACGAUUGUUAACUUUUUCUUUUUAAAAAAAAAAGGUUAAGGCAGAUUUUAAGACUUAUAAAUGUUUAAGAAAUUAUAAACAAGGUUAGACCCUUUGAAAAAAAAAGUUUAGAAGAUAUUCUUAAAGUAAAUUUUUAUAGUGUUAAUUUUGUAAUAAUUUAUGUUUUACUAUAUUACAGAGCUAACUGACCAGAAUAGUUUCAGAAACAAUAUGAAACUUAGGAAAGUUUAAGCAAUGUUUAUAUUUUUAAAAUGUUCUUUGAAUUAUGUUUUUAUUGUAUGUUUCUUCAGACCGAAAAGUAUGUACAUAUCUUUGUUAUUUUUGCACAAUUUUUGUCUUGUUCGGUUUUAGAAGUCUGAUGUUUUUUAUAAUUUAUUUUGAGUUUUAAAACUUGCAGGAGUAGAAACAAAACCAAUCUCGGCAACAAAAUAACCCUCUGAUUUAUAAACUUUUACACUCGAAGAGGGAAAACAAAGGUUGAGAGAUGAAGUGGCUGCUUCUGAGAAAUAAUGUCUCAACAGGGACUGAAGGAGCGGGUUCAACAUUUUAGCUCCCUGCGUCUUGAAAUGGAAGCUGGAAUAAAGAGGUUCCUCACCAAAUGCUGCUUACUUUCUUGAAAAGACUGGCUCUGACCAAGGUGAGGACAUUUAUGGAUAACUGAGCAAAAAGGGAAAACCCACGGUAUUUCUUCUUUCGCCAUCAACCACAGGUUUACUUUGUAUUGAUGUAUUAAAAACUUGCAGCUUGAAAAGUGGAAUGCAAAUAAAGGUUUUCUUUGGGUUUAUUUUCAUGGAGUUCAACUGGACCAGCCUAUAAAGCAUCUUUUGGGUGGUAUCCUUUGGGUCCUUCUGUUCUGCACACCCCCCAACAGCCUUCUCUCCCAGCCCCUUGACUGCACACACCCCUAUUUGCCUGAAGACCUCCUGACUUGUCGCCAGCCAUAGAGGCUCGAAAGCUCUGGUUGUUAAACAUAACGCAAUGCAUAGACCUGUCAGCCAUAAAAAAAAAAAA